UUCCGGUUGAUCCUGCCGGACCUGACUGCUAUCGGAUUGAUACUAAGCCAUGCGAGUCUUUGCAGUAAUGCAAGGCAUACGGCUCAGUAACACGUAGUCAACUUACCCUAUGGACGAGGAUAAUCUCGGGAAACUGAGCAUAAUACUCGAUAGAUCAUAAUGCCUGGAAUGGUUUAUGGUUAAAAUGAUUCGUCGCCAUAGGAUGGGACUGCGGCCUAUCAGCUUGUUGGUGAGGUAAUGGCCCACCAAGGCGAUUACAGGUACGGGCUCUGAGAGGAGAAGCCCGGAGAUGGGUACUGAGACAAGGACCCAGGCCCUAUGGGGCGCAGCAGGCGAGAAAACUUUGCAAUGUGCGAAAGCACGACAAGGUUAAUCCGAGUGAUUUCUGCUAAAGAAAUCUUUUGCAAGUCAUAAAACCACUAGUGAAUAAGGGGUGGGCAAGUUCUGGUGUCAGCCGCCGCGGUAAAACCAGCACCUCAAGUGGUCAGGAGGAUUAUUGGGCCUAAAGCAUCCGUAGCCUGUUCUGUAAGUUUGCGGUUAAAUCUAUACGCUCAACGUAUAGGCUGCCGUAAAUACUGUAGAACUAGGGAGUGGGAGAGGUAGACGGUACUCGAUAGGAAGGGGUAAAAUCCUUUGAUCUAUUGAUGACCACCUGUGGCGAAGGCGGUCUACCAGAACACGUUCGACGGUGAGGGAUGAAAGCUGGGGGAGCAAACCGGAUUAGAUACCCGGGUAGUCCCAGCUGUAAACGAUGCAGACUCGAUGAUGCAAUGGCAUAGAGCUAUUGCAGUAUCGCAGGGAAGCCGUUAAGUCUGCCGCCUGGGAAGUACGUACGCAAGUAUGAAACUUAAAGGAAUUGGCGGGGGAGCACCACAAGGGGUGAAGCCUGCGGUUCAAUUGGAUUCAACGCCGG
rnacentral:rRNA from 1 species